AACGAACGCUGGCGGCAGGCCUAACACAUGCAAGUCGAACGCCCUGGCAACAGGGAGUGGCAGACGGGUGAGUAACGCGUGGGAACGUGCCCUUCGGUUCGGAAUAACUCAGGGAAACUUGAGCUAAUACCGGAUACGUGCGAGAGCAGAAAGAUUUAUCGCCGAAGGAUCGGCCCGCGUCCGAUUAGCUAGUUGGUGAGGUGACGGCUCACCAAGGCGACGAUCGGUAGCUGGUCUGAGAGGAUGAUCAGCCAAACUGGGACUGAGACCCGGCCCAGACUCCUACGGGAGGCAGCAGUGGGGAAUAUUGGACAAUGGGCGCAAGCCUGAUCCAGCCAUGCCGCGUGAGUGAUGAAGGCCCUAGGGUUGUAAAGCUCUUUCGCCAGGGACGAUAAUGACGGUACCUGGAUAAGAAGCCCCGGCUAACUUCGUGCCAGCCGCCGCCGUAA
rnacentral:rRNA from 1 species